rnacentral:rRNA from 1 species
CCUACGGGAGGCAGCAGUGGGGAAUUUUCCGCAAUGGGCGAAAGCCUGACGGAGCAACGCCGCGUGGGGGAAGAAGGUUUUUGGAUUGUAAACCCCUUUUCUCAAGGAAGAACAAAAUGACGGUACUUGAGGAAUCAGCCUCGGCUAACUCCGUGCCAGCAGCCGCGGUAAUACGGAGGAGGCAAGCGUUAUCCGGAAUUAUUGGGCGUAAAGCGUUCGUAGGCGGCUGUUCAAGUCUGCUGUCAAAGACCGAGGCUCAACCUCGGGUCGGCAGUGGAAACUGGAUAGCUAGAGGUCGGUAGGGGCAGAGGGAAUUCCCAGUGUAGCGGUGAAAUGCGUAGAUAUUGGGAAGAACACCGGUGGCGAAAGCGCUCUGCUGGGCCGAACCUGACGCUGAGGAACGAAAGCUAGGGGAGCGAAUGGGAUUAGAUACCCCAGUAGUCCUAGCCGUAAACGAUGGAAACUAGGUGUGGCCUGUAUCGACCCGGGCCGUGCCGAAGCUAACGCGUUAAGUUUCCCGCCUGGGGAGUACGCACGCAAGUGUGAAACUCAAAGGAAUGACG